AACGAACGCUGGCGGCAGGCCUAACACAUGCAAGUCGAGCGCAUCCUUCGGGGUGAGCGGCGGACGGGUUAGUAACGCGUGGGAACGUGCCCUUUUCUUCGGAAUAGCUUCGGGAAACUGAAGGUAAUACCGGAUACGCCCUUUUGGGGAAAGAUUUGUCGGAGAAGGAUCGGCCCGCGUCUGAUUAGAUAGUUGGUGGGGUAAUGGCCUACCAAGUCUACGAUCAGUAGCUGGUUUGAGAGGAUGAUCAGCAACACUGGGACUGAGACACGGCCCAGACUCCUACGGGAGGCAGCAGUGGGGAAUCUUAGACAAUGGGCGCAAGCCUGAUCUAGCCAUGCCGCGUGAGUGAUGAAGGCCUUAGGGUCGUAAAGCUCUUUCGCUGGGGAAGAUAAUGACGGUACCCAGUAAAGAAACCCCGGCUAACUCCGUGCCAGCCGCCGCCGUAACAC
rnacentral:rRNA from 1 species